rnacentral:lncRNA from 1 species
CUUUGUUCUUUUUCCUACUCCGGAUCAAGAGCCUGGAUUUCCAGCUGAAAUACAACACCGUGCAUUCUCCAAUGUAUAGCCUAGCUUUGGGUCAAAAAUCUAGGGCCUGCUGCAAGAAUUACUGUGCACUCAAGUUCUCUGCACACUGAGCACUAACUAAGGUUCAUUGGAAAGGAGACUCUUGUGAGGCCUUGAAGCACAUCCAUUCACACCUAAUAAUUGUACAGAUAUGAAAAGUAACAUCAGAGAAGUAAAGAUUUUUCUAGGAGGCCAUUUAGGUUUUGCUCUGUGCUUUAUUCUAUCACAUUAGGCUGCCUUAUUCUCUGUUAUCUGCAUAUCUAUGGUAGUAUUAAAAGUAAGCCAUUUUCAGUUUGUGUUAACAAGAUGGAUGUCUGAAAACUAAAUACAACUGGAAAAUUCAAUCCAAGUUACUGAAGUUUGACUGAGAUAUAUUGAUUCUUAAAAAACAAGAUAAUAAACUCUAAAUAUCCAAUGAAA